GACGAACGCUGGCGGCGUGCCUAAUACAUGCAAGUCGAACGCUUCUUUCCUCCCGAGUGCUUGCACUCAAUUGGAAAGAGGAGUGGCGGACGGGUGAGUAACACGUGGGUAACCUACCCAUCAGAGGGGGAUAACACUUGGAAACAGGUGCUAAUACCGCAUAACAGUUUAUGCCGCAUGGCAUAAGAGUGAAAGGCGCUUUCGGGUGUCGCUGAUGGAUGGACCCGCGGUGCAUUAGCUAGUUGGUGAGGUAACGGCUCACCAAGGCCACGAUGCAUAGCCGACCUGGGAGGGUGAUCGGCCACACUGGGACUGAGACACGGCCCAGACUCCUACGGGAGGCAGCAGUAGGGAAUCUUCGGCAAUGGACGAAAGUCUGACCGAGCAACGCCGCGUGAGUGAAGAAGGUUUUCGGAUCGUAAAACUCUGUUGUUAGAGAAGAACAAGGACGUUAGUAACUGAACGUCCCCGGACGGUAUCUAACCAGAAAGACACGGCUAACUACGU
rnacentral:rRNA from 1 species